CAGAAAAAAAUCAAAAGACAUUCAUUCUGACCUCAGUUUAGAUGAGACUACCCGCKKAAYUUAAGCAUAUCAGUAAGCGGAGGAAAAGAAACUAACAAGGAUUCCCUUAGUAGCGGCGAGCGAACAGGGAUGAGCCCAGCACCGAACCUCGCGCCCGGUUGAGCGGGUGCCGAGGAAUGUGGUGUUCGGGAGGAUCGUGCGCGCCUGUCCGGUAUAUAUCGUCCAAGUCUCCAUGAACGGGGCGAGCAACCCACAGAGGGUGUCAGGCCCGUAGCUUAGACGAGCCGAGACCGUGCAUCGGAUCCCUUCCCAAGAGUCGGGUUGCUUGAGCGUGCAGCCCUAAGCGGGAGGUAAACUCCUUCUAAGGCUAAAUAUCGCCACGAGACCGAUAGCGAACAAGUACCGCGAGGGAAAGUUGAAAAGAACUUUGAAGAGAGAGUUCAAUAGUGCGUGAAACCGUUCAGGGGGUUAAACGGGUGGGCCCUCGAAGGUCGAACGAGCCCCCGCUCCCGGCACUUGGUUGCAUGCCCUCUGCUGCGAAGAGACCGACUUGAUUUGGCGGCUCUGUUCGUUGGCGAGGACCGCAUUAGCCGCGCCAAGGUCCGCAAGUGGGGGGCCUAGUAGGACUCCGCGACCGACUGGGUGUCUGUUAUACGGGGCGUUCGUUAGCGAGUUUUGGGUUACCUCGUGUGCCCUCGACGAGCGCGGCGUCACUCAACAGUACUGCCCGGUCGUGACCUGUCUCCUCCCGGAUUGUCUACGUGUAUCUCGCUAGAGGCUUCGAUCUGGAGCUUCAGGGCUUGGCAUCACGUUGUAGAAAACCGCGGAGGCCCAGAGCGGAGAGUAGAAGUCGGGUCCCACCCGACCCGUCUUGAAACACGGACCAAGGAGUUUAACAUGUGCGCGAGUCGUCGAGUCUAUUACGAAACUCGCGAGGCGCAAUGAAAGUGAAGCGGCCCCGAUGAGGGUGCAUCCGCGAGGGGUGAUCCCGUCUCGAACAGAGCGGGCGCAACCCCUGGGCGUCCGAAUGCUCGCGAGGCCCCGGUCAAACGGUGUGCCGAGUCGGCCGGACGAACCAAGAGCGUACACGUUGGGACCCGAAAGAUGGUGACCUAUGCCUGGCCAGGACGAAGCCAGGGGAAACCCUGGUGGAGGUCCGCAGCGAUUCUGACGUGCAAAUCGAUCGUCGGAGUGGGGUAUAGGGGCGAAGGACUAAUCGAACCAUCUAGUAGCUGGUCCCCCSGAAGUUUCCCUCAGGAUAGCUGGUGCUCGCAAAGAGAACAAACGGAGUUUCAUCCGGUAAAGCGAAUGAUUAGAGGCCUUGGGGUCGAAACGACCUCAACCUAUUCUCAAACUUUCAAUGGGUGAGAAGCCCGGCCUGCAUUUCUUGAUUGAGGCCGUGGCAAUAAUUUUAUUUUGAAUCUGAGCGCCCAGUGGGCCAUUUUUGGUAAGCAGAACUGGCGCUGUGGGAUGAACCAAACGCCCGGUUAAGGCGCCUAAACGACGCACAUKUCUGGAUCCCACGAAAAGGAGUUGGUUGCUAAAGACAGCAGGACGGUGGCCAUGGAGGUCKGAAUCCGCUCAGGAGUGUGUAACAACUCACCUGCCGAAGCAACUAGCCCUUACAAUGGGAGGCGCUAUAGCGUCKUGCCUAUACCGGGCCGUCGGUCGGCAGUGCGAAUAACGUCCGUGUCAGCUCGCAGAGAGCGACGGCGCUGAUGCCCCGACGAGUAGGGGGUCGCGACGGUGAGCGUCGAAUGGUCGUGGGCGUGAGCCUGCCCGGAGCCGCCGUCGGUGCAGAUCUUGGUGGUAGUAGCAAAUACUCCGAGGAUCCUGGAGGACUGACGCGGAGAAUGGUUCAUGUGAACAGUGGUUGGACAUGAGUCAGUCGAUCCUAAGCCGCAGGCGAAAGCCGGCCUAGUGACGGGCGUGAUGCUAGUGUGCUCUUUUUCUUUCUUUUUUUGGGAGGAUUCGGCGCGCGCUUCUUUCCCUCUUCGUUUCUAUAGUCCCUAGCCAGAUGGGUGAAAGGAAAGAAAGGAGAGUUGCGUGUUUGUUGAAAAGAACCGGAGGAGAAAAAAAAUCAUGCGAAACUGAAACGUGAGACGCCACCAAGGUUAAGGCGAAAGGGGAUCCGGUCCUGAUUCCGGAACCGGGCUGCGGCUACGUCCGCGAUAAWACGACUUCAACCCUCGUAAUGUCACGGUCGCGGUAACGCGACACAAACCGGAGAAGCUGCCGAGAACCCCGGGAAGAGUUUUCUUUUCUGCUUGAGGGACCGAGACCCUGGAAUCCCGUCGCGGGGCGAGAGGGUUAUGGAUUUAGCUGUCAAAGGCUAUCCCGAAGAGCGUCGCGUUUCUGCGACGUCCGUGGUCGUUCUCGGCUGGCCCUUGAAAAUCCGGCGGGAGGGUUACGUUGUUGGACGUUCGCGCCCGUUCGUACCGAUAUCCGCAUCAGGUCUCCAAGGUGAACAGCCUCUAGUCGAUGGAUGAAUGUGGGUAAG
rnacentral:rRNA from 1 species